rnacentral:rRNA from 1 species
ACCCGCUGAACUUAAGCAUAUCAAUAAGCGGAGGAAAAGAAACCAACAGGGAUUACCUCAGUAACGGCGAGUGAAGCGGUAACAGCUCAAAUUUGAAAUCUGGCUCUUUCAGGGUCCGAGUUGUAAUUUGUAGAAGAUGCUUCGGGUGUGGCUCCGGUCUAAGUUCCUUGGAACAGGACGUCAUAGAGGGUGAGAAUCCCGUAUGUGACUGGCUGCCUCCGCCCAUGUGAAGCUCUUUCGACGAGUCGAGUUGUUUGGGAAUGCAGCUCAAAAUGGGUGGUAUAUUUCAUCUAAAGCUAAAUAUUGGCCAGAGACCGAUAGCGCACAAGUAGAGUGAUCGAAAGAUGAAAAGCACUUUGGAAAGAGAGUUAAACAGUACGUGAAAUUGUUGAAAGGGAAGCGCUUGCAAUCAGACUUGCACGCUGCCGAUCAUCCGGUGUUUUCACCGGUGCACUCGGUUGCGUUCAGGCCAGCAUCGGUUUGGGUGGUUGGAUAAAGGCCUUGGGAAUGUAGCUUCUUUCGGGGAGUGUUAUAGCCCUCGGUGCAAUGCAGCCUAUCCGGACCGAGGACCGCGCUUCGGCUAGGAUGCUGGCGUAAUGGUUGUAAGCGACCCGUCUUGAAACACG